CGACCGGCGCACGGGUGAGUAACGCGUAUCCAACCUGCCCACCACUGGGAUAACCUUGCGAAAGUAAGACUAAUACCCAAUGAUAUCUCUAGAAGACAUCUGAAAGAGAUUAAAGAUUUAUCGGUGAUGGAUGGGGAUGCGUCUGAUUAGCUUGUUGGCGGGGUAACGGCCCACCAAGGCGACGAUCAGUAGGGGUUCUGAGAGGAAGGUCCCCCACAUUGGAACUGAGACACGGUCCAA
rnacentral:rRNA from 1 species